rnacentral:rRNA from 1 species
UACGUAGGGUGCGAGCGUUGUCCGGAAUUAUUGGGCGUAAAGAGCUCGUAGGCGGUCUGUCGCGUCGGUCGUGAAAACUUGGGGCUUAACCCUGAGCUUGCGGUCGAUACGGGCAUGACUGGAGUUCGGCAGGGGAGACUGGAAUUCCUGGUGUAGCGGUGAAAUGCGCAGAUAUCAGGAGGAACACCGGUGGCGAAGGCGGGUCUCUGGGCCGAUACUGACGCUGAGGAGCGAAAGCGUGGGGAGC